rnacentral:rRNA from 1 species
UUAAAUUGAAGAGUUUGAUCAUGGCUCAGAUUGAACGCUGGCGGCAGGCCUAACACAUGCAAGUCGAACGGUAACAAGUUAUC